AUUGAACGCUGGCGGAAUGCUUUACACAUGCAAGUCGAACGGCAGCACGGACUUCGGUCUGGUGGCGAGUGGCGAACGGGUGAGUAAUGUAUCGGAACGUGCCCAGUCGUGGGGGAUAACGUAGUGAAAAUUACGCUAAUACCGCAUACGAUCUAUGGAUGAAAGCGGGGGAUCGCAAGACCUCGCGCGAUUGGAGCGGCCGAUAUCAGAUUAGGUAGUUGGUGGGGUAAAGGCCCACCAAGCCAACGAUCUGUAGCUGGUCUGAGAGGACGGCCAGCCACACCGGAACUGAGACACGGUCCAGACUCCUUCGGGAGGCAGCAGUGGGGAAUUUUGGACAAUGGGCCAAAGCCUGAUCCAACCAUUCCGCGUGCAGGAUGAAGGCCCUCGGGUUGUAAACUGCUUUUGUACAGAACGAAAAGGUUUCUACUAAUACUAGGAGCUCAUGACGGUACUGUAAGAAUAAGCACCGGCUAACUACGUGCCAGCCGCCGCGGUAA
rnacentral:rRNA from 1 species